GACGAACGCUGGCGGCGUGCUUAACACAUGCAAGUCGAACGGAAAGUCCCUUCUUUUGUGGGGUGCUCGAGUGUCGAACGUGUGAGUAACACGUGAGUAACCUGCCCUUGACUUUGGGAUAACUUCAGUAAACUGUGGCUAAUACCGGAUAGGAGCUCCUGCUGCAUGGUGGGGGUUGGAAAGUUUCGGCGGUUGGGGAUGGACUCUCGGCUUAUCAGCUUGUUGGUGGGGUAGUGGCUUACCAAGUCUUUGACGGGUAGCAGGCCUGAGAGGGUGACCGGCAACAUUGGGACUGAGAUAAGGCCCAGACUACUACGGGAGGCAGCAGUGGGGAAUAUUGCACAAUGGGCGGAAGAAUGAUGCAGCAACGCCGCGUGCGGGAUGAAGGACUUCGGGGUGUAAACCGCUUUCGCCUGUGACGAAGAGUGAGUGACGGUAAUGGGUAAAGAAGCACCGGCUAACUACGUG
rnacentral:rRNA from 1 species